rfam:Gossypium hirsutum cultivar TM-1 unplaced genomic scaffold scaffold280.1, whole genome shotgun sequence
CAUGUCAGCUCGCUUUGCUGACGUGGUAACAAAUCGCGUCCACGAAAGCGCGAUUUGUGUCCACAUCAACAAAGCACGCUAACGUGG